CGGUUAAGUUAGAAAGGGCGCACGGUGGAUGCCUUGGCACUAGGAGCCGAUGAAGGACGGGACGAACACCGAUAUGCUUCGGGGAGCUGUAAGCAAGCUUUGAUCCGGAGAUUUCCGAAUGGGGAAACCCACUGCUCGUAAUGGAGCAGUAUCCAUAUCUGAAUUCAUAGGAUAUGA
rnacentral:rRNA from 1 species